CGGCACUGCAGAUGUUUUGGACUACACCUCCUAUGAUGCUUUUCCAGCAUUAUGGGGGAUGUAGUCCACACCAUCUGGAGUGCCG